UGCCAGCAGCCGCGGUAAUACGGAAGGUGCAAGCGUUGUUCGGAAUGACUGGGCGUAAAGAGCACGUAGGCGGGUUUGUGUGUCGGUUGUGAAAACCCCGGGCUUAACCUGGGACGUGCAGCCGAAACUGCAAAUCUUGAAUGCCUGAGAGGUUGGUGGAAUUCCAGGUGUAGGAGUGAAAUCCGUAGAUAUCUGGAGGAACACCGGAGGCGAAGGCGGCCAACUGGCAGUGCAUUGACGCUGAGGUGCGAAAGCGUGGGGAGCAAACAGGAUUAGAUA
rnacentral:rRNA from 1 species